rnacentral:rRNA from 12 species
AAAUUGAAGAGUUUGAUCAUGGCUCAGAUUGAACGCUGGCGGCAGGCCUAACACAUGCAAGUCGAACGGUAACAGGAAGCAGCUUGCUGCUUCGCUGACGAGUGGCGGACGGGUGAGUAAUGUCUGGGAAACUGCCUGAUGGAGGGGGAUAACUACUGGAAACGGU